UUCCAUGCAGCUGCUAAAAUCCAAAAUGCUGGUGAAGCACGGCGCAGAGUAUCGGCAGAUCCUCAAGGACAGUCAAACUGAGAGAGCCUUCUGGGUCACCAACAUCAGCAAUAUCACAUCGCUGUUUGGGAAGUACUUCAACCCAUCCGAGAGCAUGGACUUCCUCCUCGUUGCUAUCGACGGCGUGAGAGACUCCAGCGUCCAUGACGCAGUGACAGCCAGGAACAUGCUGCAUAAGAUCCUGGAGGUUCCCGGCCUAGGCUUGGUGAGGGUGUCAGAGGCUGUGAGGAGCAUUCAUAAGCACCUG